GUGGGGAAUCUUAGACAAUGGGCGCAAGCCUGAUCUAGCCAUGCCGCGUGAGCGAUGAAGGCCUUAGGGUUGUAAAGCUCUUUCGUGGGGGAAGAUAAUGACUGUACCCCAAGAAGAAGCCCCGGCUAACUCCGUGCCAGCAGCCGCGGUAAUACGGAGGGGGCUAGCGUUGUUCGGAAUUACUGGGCGUAAAGCGCACGUAGGCGGACUGGAAAGUCAGGGGUGAAAUCCCGGGGCUCAACCCCGGAACUGCCUUUGAAACUCCCAGUCUUGAGUUCGAGAGAGGUGAGUGGAAUUCCGAGUGUAGAGGUGAAAUUCGUAGAUAUUCGGAGGAACACCAGUGGCGAAGGCGGCUCACUGGCUCGAUACUGACGCUGAGGUGCGAAAGCGUGGGGAGCAAACAGGAUUAGAUACCCGGGUAGUCC
rnacentral:rRNA from 1 species